UCCGGUUUGUCACCGGCAGUCUCAUUAGAGUGCCCUUUCGUAGCAACUAAUGACAAGGGUUGCGCUCGUUGCGGGACUUAACCCAACAUCUCACGACACGAGCUGACGACGGCCAUGCAGCACCUGUGUUCCAGUUCUCUUUCGAGCACUCCCAAAUCUCUUCGGGAUUCUAGACAUGUCAAGGGUAGGUAAGGUUUUUCGCGUUGCAUCGAAUUAAUCCACAUCAUCCACCGCUUGUGCGGGUCCCCGUCAAUUCCUUUGAGUUUUAAUCUUGCGACCGUACUCCCCAGGCGGUCAACUUCACGCGUUAGCUGCGCUACCAAAGCCCGAAGGCCCCGACAGCUAGUUGACAUCGUUUAGGGCGUGGACUAC
rnacentral:misc_RNA from 1 species